rnacentral:rRNA from 1 species
GGAUUAGAUACCCUGGUAGUCCACGCCGUAAACGAUGUGUGCUAGUUGUCAGGCCCAAAGGGUUUGGUGACGGAGAGAAAUCAUUAAGCACACCGCCUGGGGAGUACGGCCGCAAGGUUAAAACUCAAAGGAAUUGACGGGGACCCGCACAAGCGGUGGAGCAUGUUGUUUAAUUCGAAGCAACGCGAAGAACCUUACCAACCCUUAACUAUCCUCUUGGGACUUUCAGAGAUGAUUGUCUUCGGUUCGGCCGGGGAGUGAAUAGGUGCUGCAUGGCUGUCGUCAGCUCGUGCCG